UAGGGAAUCUUCCGCAAUGGACGCAAGUCUGACGGAGCAACGCCGCGUGAGUGAAGAAGGAUUUCGGUUCGUAAAACUCUGUUGUUAGAGAAGAACAGCGCAUAGAGUAACUGUUAUGCGUGUGACGGUAUCUAACCAGAAAGCCUCGGCUAACUACGUGCCAGCAGCCGCGGUAAUACGUAGGUGGCAAGCGUUGUCCGGAUUUAUUGGGCGUAAAGCGAGCGCAGGCGGUCAAUUAAGUCUGAUGUGAAAGCCCCCGGCUCAACCGGGGAGGGUCAUUGGAAACUGGUUGACUUGAGUGCAGAAGAGGAGAGUGGAAUUCCAUGUGUAGCGGUGAAAUGCGUAGAUAUAUGGAGGAACACCAGUGGCGAAGGCGACUCUCUGGUCUGUAACUGACGCUGAGGUUCGAAAGCGUGGGUAGCAAACAGG
rnacentral:rRNA from 1 species